AGAGUUGGUGGCGAUGUAAUAGGGUUGCCUCUUCCAUGUGCUGUUGGUGAUGUGGUAUGGCAUUCUUCGCCCUGUACUUCACUCGGCAUUUAAUUUUAGCAAUUUGUGUAAAUUAAUACAGCCAUCUGUGUUGUUUCCGCUUAGGUGCCUAGACACUGGUACGAGGACCUGCUUGUUCAGUGCAUGGGCCUCAGAAAGAAAGUCUUAGAAAAAAGUGCAGAAAUAUUUCGUUUGGCAUCCAAUGUGUCGGACAACUCACAAGUGGUGGACCAAAGGCUACAUCAAAUACAGGUAAUUUUGGAAAGUGCAUUGAAGCUCCAAAAGGGGGCAGGGAAACGCUGCCUUCGCGGUGGAAUUGGUGGCUGGGAAUCCUGUCUUUCUAAGCGUCCGAACACAAGUGCCGGGACGGAGACAUUUACGGAAGACCUUGGUAGAGGCAAAGCUCACGAAUGUCAGGGAAUUCAUA
rnacentral:lncRNA from 1 species